UACGGGGGGGGGCAAGCGUUGUUCGGAAUUACUGGGCGUAAAGGGCUCGUAGGCGGCCAACUAAGUCAGACGUGAAAUCCCUCGGCUUAACCGGGGAACUGCGUCUGAUACUGGAUGGCUUGAAUCCGGGAGAGGGAUGCGGAAUUCCAGGUGUAGCGGUGAAAUGCGUAGAUAUCCGGAGGAAUACCGAAGGCGAAGGCAGUGUCCUGGCUGGUAACUGACGCUGAGGCGCGAAAGCUAGGGGAGCGAACAGG
rnacentral:rRNA from 1 species